CCCCACAUUACCAUGGGAACUGUCUGCUGUGACGGAAGCCCUUCCUAGGUGUGGGAAAGCAUUGCCUUGCUUCUCUCAAACUGCCUUUGGUGGUGUUUCAAUCUCAGACUAAAUGGAAGCAAGA